UACGUAGGGGGCUAGCGUUGUCCGGAAUCAUUGGGCGUAAAGCGCGCGUAGGCGGCCAGAUAAGUCCGGUGUGAAAGUCACAGGCUCAACCUGUGAAUGCCGCUGGAAACUGUCUGGCUAGAGUCCGGAAGGGGCGAGUGGAAUUCCUGGUGUAGCGGUGAAAUGCGCAGAUAUCAGGAGGAACACCGAUGGCGAAGGCAGCUCGCUGGAACGGUACUGACGCUGAGGCGCGAAAGCGUGGGGAGCGAACAGG
rnacentral:rRNA from 1 species